GCUUUAUGGAACCAUGCAGUCGAGCGGAGCGAUGAGAGCUUGCUCGCAGGCGUCGAGCGGGGACGGGUGAGGAAUGCAUAGGAAUCUGCCCGGUAGUGGGGGAUAACCUGGGGAAACUCAGGCUAAUACCGCAUACGUCCUACGGGAGAAAGCAGGGGAUCUUCGGACCUUGCGCUAUCGGAUGAGCCUAUGUCGGAUUAGCUUGUUGGUGAGGUAACGGCUCACCAAGGCGACGAUCCGUAGCUGGUCUGAGAGGAUGAUCAGCCACAUCGGGACUGAGACACGCCCCGAACUCCUACGGGAGGCAGCAGUGGGGAAUAUUGGACAAUGGGCGCAAGCCUGAUCCAGCCAUGCCGCGUGUGUGAAGAAGGCUUUCGGGUUGUAAAGCACUUUCAGUGAGGAAGAGGGCCUCGGGGCUAAUACCCCCGAGGAAGGACAUCACUCACAGAAGAAGCUCCGGCUAACUCCGUGCCAACAGCCGCGGUAAUACGGAGGGUGCGAGCGUUAAUCGGAAUUACUGGGCGUACAGCGCCCGUAGGCGGCGCGCUAAGCCGGUUGUGAGAGCCCCGGUCUCGACCUGGGAACGGCCUCGGGAACUGUCUGGCUAGAGUGCUGGAGAAGAAGGUAGAAUUCCCGGUGUAGCGGUGAAAUGCGUUGAGAUCGGGAGGAAUACCAGUGGCGAAGGCGGCCUUCUGGACUGACACUGACGCUGACGUGCGAAAGCGUGGUUAGCAAACAGGAUUACAUACCCUGGGAGUCCACGCCGUAAACGAUGUCGACUAGCCGCUGCGGUCCUAGAGACUUUUGUGUCUCAGGUAACGCGAUACGUCUACCGCCUGGGUAGUACGGUCGCGAGUUUAACACUCAAAUGACUUGACUGAGGGCCCGCACUAGCGAGGGUUGCAUGUGGGUAUAAUUCGAAUGCAACGCGAAGAACCUAACUACAUUGACAUCGUGCGAACUUAGCUAGAGCAUACCUGUGCUGCUUACGGGUAGUCGCACAGACAGGUUGCUGCAUCGGCUUGAUCGUCUGCUCGGUGGUUGUGCAAAGUGUUGUGGUAAGUCCAGUAACUGAGUCGCAUCGCUGGAUCCCUGUAUUUGCUAGCGAAUUCGGUUCGGAUAUCUCGUAGGGCAGACUGUCACGGGUGGACUCACUCUGGAAGGUAG
rnacentral:rRNA from 1 species